GACGAACGCUGGCGGCGUGCUUAACACAUGCAAGUUGAACGGAAAGGCCCCUUUGGGGGUACUCGAGUGGCGAACGGGUGAGUAACACGUGAGUAACCUGCCCUUGACUUCGGGAUAACUUCAGGAAACUGGGGCUAAUACCUGAUAGGAAUCCUUGCUGCAUGGUGGGGGUUGGAAAGCUUCGGCGGUUUUGGAUGGACUCGCGGCUUAUCAGCUUGUUGGUGGGGUAGUGGCUUACCAAGGCUUUGACGGGUAGCCGGCCUGAGAGGGCGACCGGCCACAUUGGGACUGAGAUACGGCCCAGACUCCUACGGGAGGCAGCAGGGGGGAAUAUUGCACAAUGGGCGGAAGCCUGAUGCAGCAACGCCGCGUGCGGGAUGACGGCCUUCGGGUUGUAAACCGCUUUCAGCAGGGGCGAAGCUUGUGGUGACGGUACCUGCAGAAGAAGCACCGGCUAACUACGUG
rnacentral:rRNA from 1 species